CCCAAACUCCUACGGGAGGCAGCAGUAGGGAAUUUUCCACAAUGGACGCAAGUCUGAUGGAGCAACGCCGCGUGAGUGAAGAAGGCUUUCGGGUCGUAAAACUCUGUUGUGGAGAAGAAUGGUCGGCAGAGUAACUGUUGUCGGCGUGACGGUAUCCAACCAGAAAGCCACGGCUAACUACGUGCCAGCAGCCGCGGUAAUACGUAGGUGGCAAGCGUUAUCCGGAUUUAUUGGGCGUAAAGCGAGCGCAGGCGGUUUUUUAAGUCUGAUGUGAAAGCCCUCGGCUUAACCGAGGAAGCGCAUCGGAAACUGGGAAACUUGAGUGCAGAAGAGGACAGUGGAACUCCAUGUGUAGCGGUGAAAUGCGUAGAUAUAUGGAAGAACACCAGUGGCGAAGGCGGCUGUCUGGUCUGUAACUGACGCUGAGGCUCGAAAGCAUGGGUAGCGAACAGGAUUAGAUACCCUGGUAGUCCAUGCCGUAAACGAUGAAUGCUAGGUGUUGGAGGGUUUCCGCCCUUCAGUGCCGCAGCUAACGCAUUAAGCAUUCCGCCUGGGGAGUACGACCGCAAGGUUGAAACUCAAAGGAAUUGACGGGGGCCCGCACAAGCGGUGGAGCAUGUGGUUUAAUUCGAAGCAACGCGAAGAACCUUACCAGGUCUUGACAUCUUUUGAUCACCUGAGAGAUCAGGUUUCCCCUUCGGGGGCAAAAUGACAGGUGGUGCAUGGUUGUCGUCAGCUCGUGUCGUGAGAUGUUGGGUUAAGUCCCGCAACGAGCGCAACCCUUAUGACUAGUUGCCAGCAUUUAGUUGGGCACUCUAGUAAGACUGCCGGUGACAAACCGGAGGAAGGUGGGGAUGACGUCAAAUCAUCAUGCCCCUUAUGACCUGGGCUACACACGUGCUACAAUGGAUGGUACAACGAGUUGCGAGACCGCGAGGUCAAGCUAAUCUCUUAAAGCCAUUCUCAGUUCGGACUGUAGGCUGCAACUCGCCUACACGAAGUCGGAAUCGCUAGUAAUCGCGGAUCAGCACGCCGCGGUGAAUACGUUCCCGGGCCUUGUACACACCGCCCGUCACACCAUGAGAGUUUGUAACACCCGAAGCCGGUGGCGUAACCCUUUUAGGGAGCGAGCCGUCUAAG
rnacentral:rRNA from 1 species